AUCAAAUUCACUGUAGCAAUUUAAUUGUUGUUUUUUUAUUGAUACUCAAAGGUGGCAAAAUAACAAACAAUUAAUUGAUUGAAGGAUUCUCAAAAAAAAUCCGAAAAAAUCCAACUUAUUAUUACCUUGCAUUAUCACUCUACAUUAUAAUUCAUACGCGUUUUUUCCAGAAUGUCUUUAUACCAGAAAACCACUAUAUUAAUAUGGUCUUACAAUCUGAAAUAGAAUUCUUCCUUACUCUUACUGUGUUGCAUAUUUAUUUGACAUCCCAAUAUGGGAAAGUGCGGAUUGAAUAAACAGUUCAUUUAAGAAUUUGGGAGGUGUCUGGCUGCAUGACUGCUGUUUUAAUAUCUUUAAUUAUCUUCUAUAAGAAAUAUUACUCUAAUUAUUCUAUCCCAUAUAACUGUUCCUAUAAAUUGAUAACUUAACUACAGUAUAUAUAUCAUUCAUCAAACAAAAUAUACAAGAUGACUCCCUAGUCCUGCAAUGGGGAUGGGGCUACACCAGGAU